AGAAGGUUGUAGUAGCAAAAAAACACUCUCGUCUACCAUUCCCACUCAUCAAAACACAAAAUUUACAAAAACCCUUGAUCAAUCCAUCUCUCAAAACCCUAAAGAAUCAGCAAUGGACGCAGAAACAGCUUUGGAGUUGGUAAAGAAAGGGGCUGCUCUUCUUUUUCUUGAUGUUCCUCAACACACCCUUUUCGGCAUCGAUACUCAGAUAUUUUCUGUGGGCCCUAAUUUCAAAGGUAUUAAAAUGAUUCCGCCUGGUCCUCACUUCGUCUAUUACAGUUCUUCAAACAGAGGUGGCAGUGAGUUUUCACCGAUGAUCGGUUUCUUUAUUGAUUUGAAUCCUUCUGAGGUAAUUGUUCGUAAGUGGGACCCGCAAGAGGAGCGACUAGUCAAAGUACCAGAAGAAGAGGAAGAGAGAUACUCACAAGCCGUAAAAAGUUUAGAGUUCGACAAGUACCUCGGGCCUUAUACCCUAAGCCAGUACGGAGAGUGGAAAAUGUUAUCAAACUACAUUACAAAGAGCGUCAUUGAACGUAUAGAACCCAUUGGAGGAGAUAUCACCGUUAUCCACGAACCCGACAUUCUUGAAAACGGUCCUAAAACCGCAAUGGAGGAAGCUUUGUCCGAGCAGUUGAAGAAUACUAACGUUCCAACGUCUGACGAUACGCUUAAAAAACGAGGUUGUUAUUACACGAAAAUUCCCCGUCUAAUUAAGAAAAAGGGUGUCGUCAGCCAAGAUCUUACUUCAUUGAAUCUCGACAAGACAAGUUUGUUGGAAAGCAUAUUGAUGAAAGACUAUGGAGGAACCGAAGAUUUGCUUCUUGGAGAGCUGCAAUUUGCUUUUAUUGCUUUUUUGAUGGGGCAAUCACUAGAAGCAUUUCUGCAAUGGAAAGCUAUUGUUCACCUUUUAUUUGGUUGUACUGAAGCUCCUCUGCGCUCAAGGAGUCGUUUAUUCACCAAGUUUACGAAGGUCGUUUAUUAUCAACUCAAGUAUGCAUUACAGAAAGGUCAAACAGACAAUAACGUUGCUGCGAAGGGACCUAUAACAUUGUUGGAUGAUUCUUUUUUAUCUUCCGAUAGUUUUCUUCAUCACUUGUGUAAGGAGUUCUUUUCGCUCAUGCUUGAAGCUCGUGUUGUUGAUGGGGACCUUUUGUCUUGGUGAGAUUACUUAUUAAUGUAGACAAGGAGACUGAAAGAAUUACUCGAGACGUCUCUAGGAUGGAUAUUUCACCAGAACAAUGGAGAUGGAGUCUUUUACGAAGAAGAUGACGAGUUUGCUCCGGUGGUUGUGAUGACGGAUGAGUGAAAUUACAAGUUAACGGCGUGAUCUGGAGAUCACAUCAGGAUUCUACUUACGCGGAUCAAGAAUCUUUGUUGCAAUGUGUUCGAUGUCCCCUUUGUGUAUGCAAUCAAUGGUCAAAGGUUAUUAUAUCAAAAGUUGUAGCAGAUGGGCUAAUUGAUAAUUGUAGGUUGAGAAUUUUUCAUGGUAUUUAUUUGAUAUAGUCGAUGAAGUAACUCCUAAUUAGUAACA